rnacentral:snoRNA from 1 species
ACCGCUGAUGACCUAGAUUAAUUUACAAACUAGAGUUUCUGAAUUUUUUUAUUUGUGAUUAGAAACUGAUCGAGUCUUUCUGAGG